rnacentral:rRNA from 1 species
GAGAGUAAACAGUGCGUGAAACCGCUCAGAGGUAAACGGGUGGAGUUGAACUGUAAGCUCCGGGAAUUCAGCUGGUGAGUGUGUCAUGGGCUUGGUCAUUUUCGGCCGGCCUCUAGAGUCCGCUUAGCUGCGGGUCCUUGCUUCUUCGGGAGUAGGGAUGUGCGUUGCGCUUGUCAAGUGCUGUGCGCUCUGGAGGUUGCCGGGCUGGCUCGCCAGUGCACUUUCUCGGAGUGGUCACCACGACCGGCGUUGUUGUCUUGCUGCUGUGGUCGAACCGGCUGGGUUUGGUCCUUGUGGCUGAACUUGGUCGGGAUGGCAGGUAGCUCAUUGGUUGGCUUGUCCAGCCUUUGGGUGUAAUCAGCUGUCUGCAGCGGUAUUGUGCAAUGCGUCGGAGACUGCGGCUUCAGAUAUUUGCUUUUGUGCCGUUGGCCGGCAGUGUUGGGUUUGACUGGCGUGUUACUUGCUUCGGUGGGUCCGUCGGUAGCUCAGUGCUGUUCGGUUAGCGGUUGCUUGAGUGAUAUCGUACAUGGGCCCAUAGUCUGUGGUGUAGCAGCAAACGAUCCACCUG